ACACAUGCAAGUCGAGGGGCAGCAUUUCAGUUUGCUUGCAAACUGGAGAUGGUGACCGGCGCACGGGUGAGUAACACGUAUCCAACCUGCCGAUAACUCGGGGAUAGCCUUUCGAAAGAAAGAUUAAUACCCGAUGGUAUAAUUAGACCGCAUGGUCUUGUUAUUAAAGAAUUUCGGUUAUCGAUGGGGAUGCGUUCCAUUAGGCAGUUGGUGAGGUAACGGCUCACCAAACCUUCGAUGGAUAGGGGUUCUGAGAGGAAGGUCUCCCACAUUGGAACUGAGACACGGUCCAAACUCCUACGGGAGGCAGCAGUGAGGAAUAUUGGUCAAUGGGCGCAGGCCUGAACCAGCCAAGUAGCGUGAAGGAUGACUGCCCUAUGGGUUGUAAACUUCUUUUAUAUGGGAAUAAAGUUUUCCACGUGUGGAAUUUUGUAUGUACCAUAUGAAUAAGGAUCGGCUAACUCCGUGCCAGCAGCCGCGGUAAUACGGAGGAUCCGAGCGUUAUCCGGAUUUAUUGGGUUUAAAGGGAGCGUAGGUGGACAGUUAAGUCAGUUGUGAAAGUUUGCGGCUCAACCGUAAAAUUGCAGUUGAUACUGGCUGUCUUGAGUACAGUAGAGGUGGGCGGAAUUCGUGGUGUAGCGGUGAAAUGCUUAGAUAUCACGAAGAACUCCGAUUGCGAAGGCAGCUCACUGGACUGCAACUGACACUGAUGCUCGAAAGUGUGGGUAUCAAACAGGAUUAGAUACCCUGGUAGUCCACACAGUAAACGAUGAAUACUCGCUGUUUGCGAUAUACAGUAAGCGGCCAAGCGAAAGCAUUAAGUAUUCCACCUGGGGAGUACGCCGGCA
rnacentral:rRNA from 1 species